GCAAGCGCUAGGGGAGGGCCCCGCGGAGUUGCCAUGGUUACAGGCGCCACGCUCUGCGCGGGCCGGCGUGCGCUUCUGGGGCGGGUAGCGGGCUCCGGAAGUGUGCAGCUGCCCGGGACCAUGGCGGUGCUUGCUGCUGGGGAUGGCGGCUUGCUCGGCCGGGCGACUAGUUCUGGCCUGGUCAGUCGGCGGCCGACAUCCUGUCUGGGGCGGCGUCCCACAGACGGUAAACGUACCUUCUGUGUGACUUCAACCCUCCAGAGGGCUUCAACCUCCUUAGGAACGUCUGCAUCCACAUUGCCUUCCUCCUGAAGACCCUGCUGAAGAUGGAGGAGCCGGUACUGGUGCUAUUCCCUUGGGGCCACCUCUACCACUGGCAGAGCCCCGAUCCCUGGUCCGACUCCUUUGACCUCCCAAGUCUCAACAGAAACAUCCCUGACAUUGAGUACGAGCAGUUCGUUGCAGGCCUCUGAAUCCUCAGUCCAGGGAAGCUAAACCAUUCUAGCCUUCAUCGGUUCUGGGAAAGCAAUCUUCAGAGUGGGAAAAGACAUUGAAAAAUAAUAUUCUGUGAGUUGCAUUCUACCCUUGCCCAGAGAUGAGAAACAUCUGAAGGUGGAGGAAAACAGUUGGAGGGUUCACUUGGUGAUAAUAAUCAUAACCAAAGCAACAGCAAACCCUUACAGAACUCUGUCCUGCUGUUCCAGGAACGCUGUGUUCAUGACAACCCAAUGAGUUGGCACCACUAUGCGUUCCACUUUAAAGAUGGCCUUGCCUCCUGCUUCAGAGAGAAUGACAUGUCACUGGAAAGGAACUCGCUCACCUGCAGCAAACCUGCUCACCUCACCUUUUAUCUGUCCCUCUCCCACCUGGACUCUAGCUGUAGUUGUUCUUAAUUCAGUGAGUUUAGUUGACAUAUAUAUACACAGUUAAAAGCAUAGCACACUAUCGGCUACCUUCUAGGGGUUACUUUUUCAAUUUAACAUGGAGUGUGUGAUUCAUCCACUUCAUUGCAUGUACCUGCAGUUCAUUUGUUUUAACUGAUCUUAAAUGUUGUGUGUGUGAAAGUAACACAAGGCAAGGGUAAGCCAGGAUUCAGGAUGCUGGUUACUUCCUGUGAGAAAAGGCCAAGAGCAGGAUAGGGAAAGAGGACACAGUAUGUCACUGUCAAUAUUCCUGUUAUGAUGCUGGGUGAUAGGUUCAUAACUGUGUCUUAUAAUAUUAAUUUUAAUACAUAAAUACCUCUGACAGGCACCUAAGAUGAGAAUGUGUCAUGAACCAAGACAUACAAUGGGUAAUAUUACAUAAUUAUUGUUAUGUAAUCUUGUUAUAUUAUAUAUUAAUCAUAAUCUUACAUUAUUUGUUAUGGGUUAUAUAUUAUAUAGAUGCAUGAAUUAUAUAUUAUGUGUAUAAACACCUACAUAUGUAUUAUAUACUAUCUGCUAAAAAAUAAACAGAAGAUAAUAUGCUAGUAUAUCUUCUAUUAUGUAUUAUUUAAUAAAUAAUAACAUACUCUAUCCUGUUAUAUGACAUGGAACAUAAUCUUUAAUAAAAUAAGAAAUCUGUCAAUAUA